rnacentral:rRNA from 1 species
AUGCACGCUGGCGGCGUGCCUAAUACAUGCAAGUCGAGCGAACGGACGAGAAGCUUGCUUCUCUGAUGUUAGCGGCGGACGGGUGAGUAACACGUGGAUAACCUACCUAUAAGCCUGGGAUAACUUCGGGAAACCGGAGCUAAUACCGGAUGAUAUUUUGAACCGCAUGGUUCAAAAGUGAAAGACGGUCUUGCUGUCACUUAUAGAUGGAUCCGCGCUGCAUUAGCUAGUUGGUAAGGUAACGGCUUACCAAGGCAACGAUGCAUAGCCGACCUGAGAGGUGAUCGGCCACACUGGAACUGAGACACGGUCCAGACUCCUACGGGAGGCAGCAGUAGGGAAUCUUCCGCAAUGGGCGAAAGCCUGACGGAGCAACGCCGCGUGAGUGAUGAAGGUCUUCGGAUCGUAAAACUCUGUUAUUAGGGAAGAACAUAUGUGUAAGUAACUGUGCACAUCUUGACGGUACCUAAUCAGAAAGCCACGGCUAACUACGUG